AUUGAACGCUGGCGGCAUGCUUUACACAUGCAAGUCGGACGAGUCGCGAACGGGUGAGUAACUCAUUGGAACGUACCGAGUCAUGGGGGAUAACUGUCCGAACGGUUAGCUACUCCCGCAUAUUAUUCGAUCGGCCGAUGUUGGAUUAGCUGGUUGGCGGGGUAAAGGCCCACCAAGGCGACGAUCCGUAGCGGGUCUGCGAGGAUGAUCCGCCACACUGGGACUGAGACACGGCCCAGACUCCUACGGGAGGCAGCAGUGGGGAAUUUUGGACAAUGGGCGCAAGCCUGAUCCAGCCAUGCCGCGUGUCUGAAGAAGGCCUUCGGGUUGUAAAGGACUUUUGUCAGGGAAGCGGUACCGGAAUAGAAAGCCACGGCUAACUACGUGCCAGCAGCCGCGGUAAUAC
rnacentral:rRNA from 1 species